UAGCUGAUCUUUUGAUUUUUCUUUCUUUCCAUGGAUUACUGUGAAGGUCUGCCAAGCAGUUGCCUCACUAUUCUGGUGAAUGCCCUGCUCCUCUCUAUAGACACUAGCCUGCAGCACAGAACUCUCAGCAUAAUACUUUUUCACCUGCUCAAUUGCAAAUUAUAUUGAAAACAGACAAACAAAAAAUUCAACAGCAUUUGAGUCCUCUGUCUGCAGAUUGUCUGAAAGGGGAGACUUUUCUGACAUGCUCUGAUACAUGGUACCUGCAAGGAUCUUCUGUCAAAGCUAGGUGAACUAUAUUUUCUUAACAUUUGAAGGACUAUUUCCAAAGUUGUUCUCAGGCUAAAAGUAAGUAAAAUGUAACCAUUCUUCCUACUUCUAAUAACUACAUAAUUAUUCUCCAUGAAUUUUAUAUACUCAGAAUAUGCAUACACAACUACUUCUUAGCAAGAUGGAAGCAAUGUGAGAAAACUAACUUUUACCUCCAGAAAAUAUUAAAUACUUCACUUAUAGGAAUCCUUGAAGAUAGAUUUUCAUUUCUGUCCUGGAUUCUACUGACAACAGGAAUUGACUCCCUGCACUCUCUUCAGAGAACAAGCAUUUGGCAUGGCUGCAAAAUGUGCCUGCCUAAUGAUAACGUACCCAUAACAGCAUGUGUACCUGCAUAUAUGCAUACAGUGAAGUACCACUGUGUUGAAAAAUUGCUGAAGACAUACACAACAUAAAACUGAGGCCUACCCAACCUUGCACUGAGAAUAGCUUCCUGAGCUGUCAGAAAGCAAGAAGGAGAGUGAGCCCUGCUGAGGGAGUAAAACCACCAGCGGCACGAUCCAGCAAUUGGUUCUUGCUGCUGCUGAAUACUAAGGAGUCCUCAGCAAUCCUGCACGCAGUUGUGCUAGAGAGCAUCAAAGUGGCCUCAAGAAGGAGAUAUUUGUGGAAGAAGCCAUUCACAAGUAAAGAGAAUUGCCAGGGAAAGGAGCUUUCAGACCGGCUGCUGUGGGAGACUAUCAAUGGCUGUGCUGAGCACCUCCUUUUCUUCAGGGAUGAGCUACUGGACUUCUGCAGUAAUGGCAGCCAGUGGUGGUGCAACACUGGGGAUGUGGGCCAUCAUGCUCAGGAGCAAGUUUAAGCUGAUGCUCAGACUCUUUUAAGGUGGCUGUCUAUCCCUGCAGCCCAGUGCUACCAGGCUGGGUGAUGGACACCCUGAGGUAAGCAGCCCCCAAAUUAGUUAUAUGGCAGGACUAUGACACACAUCUCACCACUCAGGUUCUGGGAGACAAGAGGUUGUAUCCAGCUGCCUAUAAAGUGCUGCGGACAUCAGUAGGAGCAGCACACAGAGGCAGCAGUAACCCAUUGCAACAUAUUAGAGGAGAUAAAGACAGAUAGCGACACCAUUUCAAAGCUAAUUAGAGGGCAGAAGGUGCUUCCUGGGCUAUUGACUCAACUGGCUCUGCAUCAUGGCCACGAGCCAUACAUGACCAGGAGCUCAGGUGCUGGCCUGGGUGACUCUGACAAUGUCAGCAGCCCCACAGUGAUGCCCUACACAAGGCUGCUUAUGGCUCAAAGGUAGAUUUAGCAUUUUUCUAAAUUUGAUCCACUUAUCUUUCUCUGAGAGCAUGAGCCAAAGGCUAAUAUCUUAAAUAAGCUUCACAUUAGCUUCCUGGACUGUUGGAAUUAUGCACAAAUAAAAUGGCCCUGAAUGCCUUACUUUAUAGAAAUAAUAUUUAUUUUGCUUUUUCCUUCCAUGACCAAUUAUACAAAAACACGAAGCAUGUAGUAGGAUGUGAUCAACAUCGUAAGGACAAAAAGCUAUUUUUCUUCUCAACAGCUCCCCACAGAAUUGUAGUCCAAAUCUUCUGUCAUGGAAAUCAAUGAAUGUUUUAGAAGUCAGAUCAAGAAGAUCCAGAGCAGUCUCUCUACACUUUUUAAUUACUUGAAUUAACAAACUACAGCGCUGGGACUCAAAAUUAAGUUUCUUUUUAGUUUUGUAUAUUUUUCUCCCUUCUUUAAACAGACACAUUUGUUACAAUCAUUUCAUGAUAAAUCAUCAUUAUAGUUUGCAAAGGAAUCAAUAAAUAGAUUGUCAGAAAAUAGAGAAUAUGAUUUUGUCCCUCCCCCUGCCUUUUGGAGCAGAAUACUAAGUAUCAGUCUGUAGAGUGGAAGAACAGUUUUAUUACCAAAUACAGAACAUGCUAAAAUUCCCAGAGAUUACCUAUGAAAGUAGAUGCCUAAGAACUAGAAGUUGAUUUUUAAUGUUUAAUUUUUAAUGUUGAGUUAGGGUGUUUUCAGAAAACACCCAAGUGCCUCCAUGUGUACUUAGCUGAAAUGACUUUUUAAAAAGCGUCUCUUCUGUAAAAAGGUAAUAUUUUGUAAAAUUCUGUUCUAAAAUUUUAAGAACUUCUACAAAGUCUGAAGGCACCGUGGAAUAUUUAGGUACCUCUUUAAGACUCUAGUGAAUUUAGGCGCUAUAAUUUUAGCCACUGGAGGGCUCCCUGAUUUUUUA